UCCCUGCUGGUCCAGUGCUAAGAUUCUGCACUCCUGAUGCAGGGGGCCCAGGUUCGAUUCCUGGUCAGGGAA